ACCGGAAGCCCGGGCCGGGGAGGGUGAAGGGAGUCGCGGACCCGGCUGCUCAGCCGAGGAGGAAACCCGGACCCCAGGCUGAGGGAGGCCGAAGAAGGAACUGGAGGGCCGGGCUGGGAAGGCCUGAAGCGGGUUUUAUACAUUACGAAUAAAGCUGGCACGUUUCCAUUUCUCCUGGGCAAAUAUUUAGAAGAAAAGUUGCUGGGUAAUUGAAGCACUGAGACCACAGAGGCAAGAGCUGGGGAAGGAAAACUGCCCAUGAGAUGAGAUGUGCCUCUCAGCUUCCAAAAUCGGGGAGGGUUGCAAAGGGAUGACACCAUCCACACCAGAACUGCAUGAAUGGCAUCAGGAAUGAUCAGAGACCAUAAAUUCCAGUGAGACCAAUAACACCAUUUCUGGUCCUGCAUGCUCUUCCAAACUUUGCCACUAACCCCUUCAAGAGAUGCCCCCCAUGGAAUCCAGCCAUCAUGCUGUGAGGAAUCCAAGCAGCUACAUAGAAAGGCCACAACUAGAUAUUCCAGCUGUAGUCAGCUGAAGCUCCAGCCAACAGCCAACAUCAACCACCACACGUGAAAACGAGCAAGCCUUCAGAUGAUUCCGACUCCCAACCUCCAAGCCACCUCAGCUGAAGCCAAGUAGAGCAGAGACUAGCUGUCCCCCAAUGCUCUAAUAUGCAGAUUCAUAAUUAAAAAGAA
ensembl:lncRNA ZNF529-AS1 ZNF529 antisense RNA 1